rnacentral:lncRNA from 1 species
UCGGGCUUCGAGCGUCCCCGGGCGCUACAGGUGGGUGAAGUUAAGUGGCUGCUGGAGCGUCUCGGGGGACAGCCAGUGUCUGCGGCGCCGAGAGGGCCGUUCGUGGACUCAAAUGGGUAUCACCCCUACCGUUUAUAGUCCUCCCAAUAGUCUGCAUCUCGUUUUGUCGUGGCUGGUCGUGUACUCCUUGUGGAGUCUGAAGACAGGGUCUCUGUCACCCAGGCUAGAGUGCAGUGACUUGAUCAAGCUCACAGCAGCCUCCAUCUCCUGGGGUCCAGCAAUCCUCGCACCUCAGCCUCCUGAGUAGCUAGGACUACAGAUAAUCAAGCUAAGCACACAGGAUGACUGCCCAAGAAGCAAGUGACCGCAAUGGUGAAGCUGGGCCUCCACCCUGCCGUCUGGCUGACUUCAAGGCCUGCACAGCCUCUUAAGCCGCAUCCUGCUUGCUGCCUCCAAGCUUUCCUGACUGCAGCCUUUUCUCCAGUCACUUUUGAUAGAGGAGUUAAGAAGAAAUUACUUAGGCAGAUAGUGAGGGUAUGGAAGUCCUCGGUAAGGUUUUCCUUUUAAUGAAAAGCAGCCCCAAAUCAUUUUCCUUUCUAACAAACAGCAGCCUGUAAAAUCAAGCUGCAGACAUAGAUGCCGGCAGUUGUGCCAAUCAUGUUCAGAAUGGUGGCUCCCUUCUCCCUUCUCUGCCAGCCAUAUGUACAGUAAGGAGCAGACAACAUGGCUCGGGCCAAGGGUAAAGUUGAUUUGCAUAAUAAGAUUAGGGUGGGGCCCACCAGCCUUCCCCUGCACUAUGUAAACAUCACGCCUGACUGAACCAAUCUGUGAGCCCUAUGUAAAUCAGACAAUGCCUUCUCAAGCCUGACUAUAAAAUCCUGUGAGUCCACUGCCAGCCAGUCUUUCCUCUGGGAAGCCCCUCUCUCUCCCUAGAGAGAGCUGGUUUCCUUUCUCCUUUCUUUUUCUUUUGCAUAUUAAACUUCCACUCCUAAACUCCUC